AUCUAGCUGAAGAGUGCCGAAUGGGACGAAACGCGCGUCCUGGAU
rfam:Schistosoma rodhaini strain Burundi genome assembly, scaffold: SROB_scaffold0000146